UGCCGACCGGGUGUCUGCACUAAGUUCGGUAUCAAUAUGGUGAUCUCCUGGGAGCAGGGGGCCACCAGGUUGCCUAAGGAUGGGUGAACUGGCCCAGAUCAGAAAGGGAGCAGGUCAGAACUCCCUCACUGACUGGUAGUGGGACUGUGCCUGGGAA
ensembl:misc_RNA Metazoa_SRP Metazoan signal recognition particle RNA